CCUACGGGCGGCAGCAGUGAGGAAUAUUGGACAAUGGUCGGAAGACUGAUCCAGCCAUGCCGCGUGCAGGAUGAAGGUCCUAUGGAUUGUAAACUGCUUUUGUAAGGGAAGAAUAAGGAGUACGCGUACUUUGAUGACGGUACCUUACGAAUAAGCAUCGGCUAACUCCGUGCCAGCAGCCGCGGUAAUACGGAGGAUGCGAGCGUUAUCCGGAAUCAUUGGGUUUAAAGGGUCUGUAGGCGGGCCUAUAAGUCAGAGGUGAAAGCGCUUAGCUCAACUAAGCAACUGCCUUUGAAACUGUAGGUCUUGAAUGGUUGUGAAGUAGGUGGAAUGUGUAGUGUAGCGGUGAAAUGCUUAGAUAUUACACAGAACACCGAUAGCGAAGGCAUAUUACUAACAAUUGAUUGACGCUGAUGGACGAAAGCGUGGGGAGCGAACAGGAUUAGAUACCCUAGUAGUC
rnacentral:rRNA from 1 species